rnacentral:misc_RNA from 1 species
GGUUUUAUUUUGUAGACAUAUUGCUUCCGGUUUUUAUUCGCGUUUAUUCGCCAUAUUGAAUUGAAUAUAUACAAGAAACGUUUUUCAGAUAACAAAUCAAGAUGGGAAGAAAGAAGAAGAAGCAGUUGAAGCCUUGGUGCUGGUAUUGUAACAGAGAAUUUGAUGAUGAAAAAAUCCUAAUUCAGCAUCAGAAAGCAAAACAUUUCAAAUGUCAUAUAUGUCACAAAAAGCUUUACACUGGACCUGGUCUUUCCAUUCAUUGUAUGCAGGUUCAUAAAGAAAAAAUAGACAAAGUGCCAAAUUCCCUGCCAGGGAGAAAUAAUUGUGAAAUAGAAAUUUAUGGAAUGGAAGGAAUACCAGAGGAAGAUGUUAAAGCACAUGAGAAACAAAAACAAGGAAGUGACGAGCCUCCCAACAAGCGGAUGAAGGACGACACCGAUAGCAAUGAUGGAAUGGCAGGUCCUUCAGGCAGUCAAAAUAAUCAGAUUCCACCACCAUUUGGUAUGAACAGAAUGCCAAUGCCCCCUGGUAAUAUGCCCUAUGGCAUGCCUCCAAUGCCCCCCAUGGGACCACCAGGUCCUAUGGGGCCUGGUCCAAUGAUGGGACCCAUGGGUCCAAUGGGGCCAAUGGGACCUAUGCCACCAAUGGGACCUAUGGGGCCAAUGGGCAUGCCACCCAUGCCAGGAAUGCCACCACGCCCUAAUUAUAUGCAGAAUGGUCCCCCAGUCUCAAUGCCGGGGUCUAAUCCCAUGAGUACACAAAGUGGACCUUCAAAGCCUUUGUUUCCCUCAGCACAGUCCUCCUCAGCGACGAUAUCAGCCCCGCCCACAGCUAACUUCAAGGCUGGAUCCUCCACUGCCCCUGUCAAGCCGACAUUCCCCUCAGCAGCGGCGGCCUUGUCCAACAACUCUCCAGUCCACAGCAGUGCCACCAUCACUGGGGCACCACAGAUCAAGAAACCAGAGUCUAGUUCAGGUUUGACAUCCAAACUCAUUCACCCAGAGGAAGACAUCUCCUUGGUAAGUUGACGCAUGAAUUUUGUCUUAUUCUCUCAGUUGAUCUGAGAGCAUUAUCAGUUACUCUCACGCAAUAUACAUGCACUGUAUCUAUAUUGCAUGAUAGUAACUGCAGUCUACAAAAAUAUUUCAUAUAUCUUUGACUGAAGUUUAGUACAUCUAUAAAAGAAAAAGGUAAUUGUGUGUUUUGGGGUGAAGUUUUUUGAGCAAAAUAUUUGUAAAAUAAAUGCUGCUGAAUCAAAAUAAAUGUCAUCGUCUCCAAUGAUUUACAGGAAGAGAAGAGAGCCAUGAUGCCCAAAUACAGGAGAGGUAUGGGAAACAUGAACCAGGGGCCAGGACGGCCACCAGCAUCGAAUAUGAUGGGAGGUAUGGGCAAUGGUAGUGGGGGAUCCAAUAUGUAUGGGAGUGGAAUGUCAUAUCAGGGACAGAGCGGUUACAGACCACCAAUGACAAGUCGACAGUACUGAUAGCAGAUGACAAGUGGACAGUACUGACAGCAGAGCUGGAGGCUUAUCAAUUGUUUUACAAAUGUGUUUCACUCAGCUAAGUCUGAUUUUAUGAUGUUGUGAUAGUAGAUGUACACUAUCAAAAGAUCAAUCUCAUUGAGUAAAAUUCUAAGGUGGAAUUUUAUUGUGUUUUAUGAGUGAAAUGAUUGUAUUUUGUAGAUGUAAAUGAUGUCCUUUUACUUAUAUUUAAAAAUAAAGUUCUUGAGUAUCAAGGUAAGAAACUAAAAGAUCAAUAGGCAUUGUGUAGAAAACAGAUUUAAAAACUUGGUAAGUGUGAUAAAUACUUUCUUUUAAAAAAAACAUGUACUGCAUUGAAUGUUCAUCAUACAAUUGUCAUCUACAUUUUUAUACAAAUAAAUGUGGCAUAUUAUGUGUUACUC